UUCCAUUUUAUUGCGUAAUUGCCGCACGAUCUGCGCGAUUUUAUACAAAGGAAUUAGAUUCUUUUAUCUCUAAAUCGCUAGUGUGAUGACGUGCGAUUACCACAGCCCGGAAUUAUACAGCAUUUUCGAGUAUCUUCGGUUGAUAUUUCGUUACCAAGCCGAUGAGGUCUUCUUGAAAGAGACGAUGAACGAAUAGAAGAGGAGAACGCUCUCAUUCCCCUUACCGUAAAUUUGACAACCCCCUUGCCUUUAAAUCCACUCUACGCUCCGUCCAUACUGUGUGUCCAUAGAUGCCAUAGAUUUUUAGGUCCAUGGCCGAAACCAAUAAAGUUCAAUACUAGGAUUUCAUUGCUUUUGUUUAGCAAGUUAUUAUGAAUAAUACCAUUGAAAUCCUAGUAUUGAAUUUUACCGGUUCCGGUAAAAGUUAAUACCUGAGAUUAUGACCUGUAAAAACCAGACUUUAAUGCAUGAAACAAAAUGCAUAUUGCACUCAAAGCAUCACCACAAUACAUAAUUACGAAUUACGAACGAUAAUAAGGAAGGAAGAAAACUUUGCUGAUUUCAUUUAACAAUAAUGUAACAUUUAUUUAGUGACAUGUAGUCUGUUAUUCUGAUAAUUAGAAACAGUGUGUUACAAUAACUUUAAAUAAAUGUGUAUCCAUGUAACGUCAA